rnacentral:rRNA from 1 species
UGUGGCAGCCAGGUCACAGGCCUGAAGCCCAAGACUGGUUGCCCACUGAAGCUAAGCAGGGCUGAGCCUGGUCAGUACCUGGAUGGGAGACCUCCUGGGAAAACUAGGUUGCUGCUGGAA